ACUCCAUAGACGCAGAACGGGCACCGGCGGCCGGCGGGAACAUCAGCAGCAGCAGAAGCCAGGCAGGCAUCUCUUUGAGUUGAGCGCGCCGCGCGCGACUUCCCUCCCCUCCCCUUCCCCUCCUUCUCGUCUGCUCAAGCCGCUUGCUGCUAGCUGGCGAUCCGGCUGCGUGCGUGCGUGCGUGUGUGUGUGCUGCCCGCCUAGACGAGACGUCUACUCUCGCGUGCGUUAGAACACGCGCGUUGAUUAUUACGGCUGUGUGCGCUGAUUCAGACAGUAGUCAGUCAGUCAGUCGGACGGACGAUUUUGAACUUCA